AGUAGUUAAGCAUUUGGCUGUUAACCAAAAGCUUGGUAGUUCAGAUCUACCAGCUGCUC
rnacentral:tRNA from 1 species